CCAGUAACACAUCCAACAAUGUGCAAGUGAUGAGAGAGACAAACCUACUCAAAGGGAACUUGUCCGAACUGUAAAUAACCACCUUCAUUCUUUUUCAUACCUAUUACCUAAGCAAAUGCAGAACAAGAAGAAGUGCUCAUGAUCUUUUCGUGUUCAUAUCAAUACUAAGAAACAAAGCUAUUGGAGAUGCUCAUGAAUAAUUGCGGACAGCCUAUCCACAGGCAGGUCAUUGAUAAUGGCCUUCUUCCUAUACUUGUGAAGAUAGUGAAGGAAAAGGUAGCUUCUUUUUUUUUUGGCUGAAUAUUGGAUAAUGAUCGUGAAACUUUUGCUGGUGAUAGGUAUCUUGGUUUCAGAUAGAAUUACCAGUUUGUUUGCUAGAUGCCUACCCAAACAUCCCUUGGUGGAGCUAAAUCAAAAUUCCCUCGGUACUAUGAUGCAUACUACGAGCUGGCGGUAGGUAUCAUCUUUAACAUUUUCGUUAGUUUCCUUCUUUGCUAUUGUGUUGAGAGUUAUGUUAGCGUCAUAUCAGUAUGUAUGGAGAUGCUAGAUCAGACAAUAUGAUGUUAAACGGGAAGCAGACAUAAAAGUUUUUUGGCUUCUGAUUUGUGUUAACAUGUGAAAGAACAAUUUUGGAACUGUAAAAAUGGAGGAAGAGAAUGUGCGACAUGGAACAGGCAAGCGAAGGGGGAGAGACACGGAGCAGUCAAACUCGACCAGAUGUAUUGCUAAAAAAAUAUUAUUAUUAUUAUUAUUAGGUGACACUCUUUUGGGGGCAUAUGUGAACAAAUACAGUGUUAUGCAUAUAAAUUGCUUGUGAUAGAGAGAUGGGAUGAACCCUUAGUUCAAAGUCGGUUUACUGUAGCAACACACAAGUUGAUAAGAUCUGCGCUUGGUAGCUGAAAAAACUUCAAGUUUAAGUUGAUAAGAUAUGUAUGGUAGCCGGAAAAACUUCUUGUCUAAUUAGUUAAAUUGAUUUGUACCUAAUAAUGGUCAAAGGUGUUUGGAGAGGUUCGG